GUCUUUCUUGGCAAGCAUCCAACCGGAGUACAACUCGUUUCGAUCCUCUAAUUACCCUCGUUCAGAACUAAACAAAGAUGAAGCUCCUUAUUGUAACACUUUGCGUUCUUGCUCUUCUUAUCCCUUCUGCUCUAUCCCUCAAGUGUUAUGUGUGCGCUAA
rnacentral:misc_RNA from 1 species